CACGUAGGGGGCGAGCGUUGUCCGGAUUCAUUGGGCGUAAAGAGCUCGUAGGCGGCUCAGCAAGUCGGGUGUGAAACCUCCAGGCUCAACCUGGAGACGCCACUCGAUACUGCUGUGGCUAGAGUCCAGUAGGGGAGCGUGGAAUUCCUGGUGUAGCGGUGAGAUGCGCAGAUAUCAGGAGGAACACCAGCGGCGAAGGCGGCGCUCUGGGCUGGAACUGACGCUGAGGAGCGAAAGCGUGGGGAGCAAACAGG
rnacentral:rRNA from 1 species